rnacentral:rRNA from 1 species
UACGGGGGGGGCAAGCGUUGUUCGGAAUUACUGGGCGUAAAGGGCGCGUAGGCGGCCUGCUAAGUCGGACGUGAAAUCCCUCGGCUCAACCGGGGAACUGCGUCCGAUACUGGCGAGGCUUGAAUCCGGGAGAGGGAUGUGGAAUUCCAGGUGUAGCGGUGAAAUGCGUAGAUAUCUGGAGGAACACCAGUCGGCGAAGGCGGAGCAUCCGUGGACCCGGCAGUUCGGACUGGCUGAGGCGGACGGAAAAGCCUGAAAGGGGUAGCUAAAACGGGG